AUUGAACGCUGGCGGCAGGCCUAACACAUGCAAGUCGAGCGGUAGAGAGAAGCUUGCUUCUCUUGAGAGCGGCGGACGGGUGAGUAAUGCCUAGGAAUCUGCCUGGUAGUGGGGGAUAACGUUCGGAAACGGACGCUAAUACCGCAUACGUCCUACGGGAGAAAGCAGGGGACCUUCGGGCCUUGCGCUAUCAGAUGAGCCUAGGUCGGAUUAGCUAGUUGGUGGGGGUAAUGGGCUCACCAAGGCGACGAUCCGUAACUGGUCUGAGAGGAUGAUCAGUCACACUGGAACUGAGACACGGUCCAGACUCCUACGGGAGGCAGCAGUGGGGGAAUAUUGGACAAUGGGCGAAAGCCUGAUCCAGCCAUGCCGCGUGUGUGAAGAAGGUCUUCGGAUUGUAAAGCACUUUAAGUUGGGAGGAAGGGCAGUAAAUUAAUACUUUGCUGUUUUGACGUUACCGACAGAAUAAGCACCGGCUAACUCUGUGCCCAGCAGCCGCGUAAA
rnacentral:rRNA from 1 species